rnacentral:rRNA from 1 species
UCUUCGGCGUCCGCAUUGUAAUCUCAAGAAGUGUUUUCCGCUUCGGACCAAGCCUAAGUCCCUUGGAAAAGGGCAUCAUAGAGGGUGAUAAUCCCGUACAUGGCUUGGAGCGCCCGAGGCUUUGUGAUACGCUUUCUAAGAGUCGAGUUGUUUGGGAAUGCAGCUCAAAAUGGGUGGUAAAUGCCAUCUAAGGCUAAAUAUUGGGGAGAGACCGAUAGCGAACAAGUACAGUGAUGGAAAGAUGAAAAGAACUUUGAAAAGAGAGUUAAACAGUACGUGAAAUUGCCAAAAGGGAAGGGUAGGAGGUCAGAGAUGCGGCCUGGGAUUCAGCCUUGCUUUUGCUUGGUGUUUUUCCCAGAUUGCAGGCCAACGUCGGUUUUGGGCACUGGAGAAGGGUAGGAGGAACGUGGCACCCCUCGGGGUGUGUUAUAGCCUCCUACUGGAUACAGCGACCGAGACCGAGGACAGCAGCGUACUCGUAAGAGCGGGCCCUCGGGCACCUUUACGCUUAGGGCGUUGGCAUAAU